UCAGGAGUCCCCGGAGUUCUGUCCCAGAAAACCGGACCGUUUGAGCCGCGGGAAAAACUUCGUAAAUUAAAGACACAAUUUAAUUUAGUGCAGCUUCGUAAAUUAAAGACACAAAGCUUGCGAGGCGGCCGGUGCACAACUUUAAUCCCAGCACUCUGAAGGCAGAGGCAGGUGGAUCUCGGGUACCGAGCCAUCCAGACACUUCCAAACAGGUGAAGAGAGAGAGUUCCCGGAAGGAGCCCAGCUGGGGGCCCACCUCGGCGAGACCUCCAAGCAGUACCUCGGCUUCUCUGGGCUUCCAUGUCUACUCUGUAAAAUAUAAAGGCAAGCGGAGUAUUUACAGGGUGACUCAGCUGCAGGCGUUCCCAUGCCUCUUAAGGGGGAAAACCCGGGUCCUCCCAGCAGCCCCGGGUGCCUGGAUUUCAGCGAGGCAGCUGCUGCUGUGCAGCCGCCCAUGACCAGCAGGGGGCACGCGAGCCUCGUGUCAACCGCUGUCGCCAGGCUCCUGCCCAGGAAGCGCGCGAGGAUCCGGGAGGGACCCGAGCUGCGAGCUGCGGAGCAAUUAGGGCCUUUAAUUACCGGGAUUGGAAGUGGACACGCCUCGUGGGGCCUCAGAGCACUGAGUCACUUCCCCAGAAACCAGAUUCCCAGGGCUGGCGGAAGAGGGGGCGGCUGCGCUUCUCUGCGGCCGGGUGCUGGCCAGAACUGGACUGAAGCCAAGACCAGAAUCUAACAGGGUUUAGGGGGUCGGGCGGGAAGCGGGGUGCUGGUUUCUGCUGGCUGUUGCACCGCUCUGCAGGUCUUGUCGAGGGCACCUGCGUCUCUGUGACUCAGUUUCUUCCUCUGUCAAGCUGAGAAGAGCAGCCCCCUUCCCCUGCAUAGUGUUGGGGGUCUGUGGACGACCUUCCAAAUCGUUUCCACAGGACCCAGGUGAGAUGGCCCGCAGCUGUAAACCCAGAACUCAGGCAGGAGCUGCAAGCGCUGAGCCAGCCUGGGCUACUCAGUGAAUUCCAGGACACCCUAGGCUACGGUCUCAAAACAAACACUUCACAGGUUAUCUAUUAUUCUCCCGUUGCUGUCUUUAUUUCUGGUACUGGGAACAGUAGGUGAUGGUGCCCCCGGCUCUGCAGUAAACCCCCAGUCAGGAGUCCUGAGUGUCUGCCUCAGUCCUUCAGCAGCUGUGUGACCUG